GAUGAACGCUGGCGGCGUGCCUAAUACAUGCAAGUCGAGCGAACAGAUAAGGAGCUUGCUCCUUUGACGUUAGCGGCGGACGGGUGAGUAACACGUGGGUAACCUACCUAUAAGACUGGAAUAACUCCGGGAAACCGGGGCUAAUGCCGGAUAACAUUUAGAACCGCAUGGUUCUAAAGUGAAAGAUGGUUUUGCUAUCACUUAUAGAUGGACCCGCGCCGUAUUAGCUAGUUGGUAAGGUAACGGCUUACCAAGGCAACGAUACGUAGCCGACCUGAGAGGGGGAUCGGCCACACUGGAACUGAGACACGGUCCAGACGCCUACGGGAGGCAGCAGUAGGGAAUCUUCCGCAAUGGGCGAAAGCCUGACGGAGCAGCGCCGCGUGAGUGAUGAAGGUCUUCGGAUCGUAAAACUCUGUUAUUAGGGAAGAACAAAUGUGUAAGUAACUGUGCACGUCUUGACGGUACCUAAUCAGAAAGCCACGGCUAACUACGUG
rnacentral:rRNA from 1 species